rnacentral:lncRNA from 1 species
GUGCGAGGAGAGAGAAAUAGAGAGUCCGAUUAGUGGUUGUUCGUUAUAUCUACUAUGUUGUUGUAUAUACUUUACAUGUGUUUUUAAUACAGUAUUGAACUUUUAAUCGACUUUGUGUUUAUGUUAACUUGCAAGACUUCGUUCAGACUACACCAGGAUCCAUUUAUUUAUUUAUGUGACCAGGAUUCCCUUAAUCACGCUACCAGAGAUUUUUAGGGUUACCCUGUUAAAGAGUAUACUUGGCAUUUGUCGUCCGUGGACGUGUGAAACGUAGACACCAAAC